rnacentral:rRNA from 1 species
UACGGAGGGGGUUAGCGUUGUUCGGAAUGACUGGGCGUAAAGCGCGCGUAGGCGGAUCAUGCAAGUCGGGGGUGAAAUCCCGGGGCUCAACCCCGGAAUGGCCUUCGAGACUGCUGGUCUUGAGUUCGAGAGAGGUGAGUGGAAUUCCGAGUGUAGAGGUGAAAUUCGUAGAUAUUCGGAGGAACACCAGUGGCGAAGGCGGCUCACUGGCUCGACACUGACGCUGAGGUGCGAAAGCGUGGGGAGCAAACAGG